GUGGUUUUGACCUUUUGCCUGUCCAUGACCAUUCUCUUGCCUACCCUUUUUUGGAUCAAUAAACAUCUAAGACUCCAACCAUCUGCAUCUGGGUCUCGCCUUGUGCCCUGAUACAGACAGCAGCCGCCCUGGCACCUGAGCCCAGGAUCAAGCAUUUCCAGAUCUACCACUGGGAUCCAGACACAACGGGGGACAAACCACGCAUGUAGACAUAUGAAAUUGACCUCAACUGUGGCCCCAUAGUAUUGGAUUCCCUCAUCAAGAAUGAGAUGGACCCCACACUCGGACGUUCCUGCAGAGUGGCGAUAAAAGUAUCUGUGGUUCAUGUGCCAUGAACAUCAACUUAAACAAAAAAGACAUAAACACCAGCAAAACCAUCAAAUGCUACCCUCUCCCGCACAUGUAUGAUGUCAAAGAUCUUGUGCCGGCCAUGAAUAACUUCUAUGCCCAGUACAAGUCCAUCAAGCCCUUCCUGAACAAGAAAGACAAGUCUCAGGAGGGUAAAGAGCACUACCAUCAGACUGUGGAAGAGGCAGAAACUGGUACAUAUUUCAGCCCCUGACCAGUGGAUGGUCUGAGUGCAUUCUCUGUGCCUGCUGUAGCUCCAGCAGCCCUAGCUACUGGUGGAAUGGAGAUAAGUAUCUGGGCCCUGCUUUCCUCAUGCAGGCAUAUUGUUGGAUGAUUGAGUCAGGCAAUAAGGACAGACUGUCAAAGGACCCCUUCUCUCUCUACCGCUGUUGCCAAAAAAUGUCCUACUGUUUUUAAAACCUCCCAUAAUGACUCUCCCGAUGUCAAGUCCAUUUAACUCCUGAGAGUCCAUUUCUUCCUCAAAGCCAUGAGCGAGCUUGUGGCUGUGAUGUUUAGCCUCAUUCUAAGGCUGUUCUGAAGACUGUCUGUCGUGUCUAUUUUUAAUUGUUAACUAUAACCUGGGUGUCCUCUUUAGCCUUGUCUACAAGGCUUACUGGCACCAAAUGCGCCUUGGUUCGGGCAUGUACAAAACACUUUUUUUGAAGGGCUCUUUGUUUAUGUCUGAGCAUAGGAUGUUAAUUUACUGUACAUCCCACCUACUCUUUGGCUACUUUAAUCCAUCCAGUUGUAGACCCAAGCUCCCUACCUUUUUGCAUGUUGUCCAGCCCAACUUUUAAUUCUGCAUGAAAAGCCAUGGGUUAUACAUUUGCUUGUCCUAGAACUGCAAAUCCACCACUUCGUCAGUAGAUGCACUGCUCCCAGUCUCCCUCCCACUGAGUCUGACUCGCUAGUGGAGGUGCCGGUGGUGAGGCUGAACUGGUGGGAUUAGCAGUGCUGCUACGACGGCAUCGCCAUCAGGAACAUUUGCCUCUCACUCCUCUCCUCCGGCACUGACAGUUAUCUGGCUCGUUCUGGGUUGGAUUCAGUCUUUCUCUGGAUUUGUGGACUCAAAUGUUUUAUCAAACUUGACUGCCUUUUCUUAUCCUUUUUUUAUUUGUCUUUCCCACGAUUCAAAUUCAUUAGGGAGACGACUAGCCUAGGCUACGUAACGUGAUUAGGUAGGGACCUCUUCACCAGCUGACCACCAAGACCUGUGUCAAGAUCAGUUACUUACCCCAAUCAUAGGAUGAUUACACAGCAGGAUCACCGUGCUUUUACAUGAUGGUCUUUCUGGGGGGGCGGGAGAAAUAACGAGGAGGCAACUUGAUAUAAAUAACACUGAUCGCUUUUAUUAGAAUGUCACCAGUGCGAACAGUGAAACAUUUAAUAAAUCAUGCCGCGAGAGAUACCGGAUGCGGGCAAAUAGGUGCCGGAACAAAGUCAAAUCUGAGAUGUGCCGAAUCUGGUUCAAAUUAAGCACUGGAUGUCGUACCAUCAUGAUCUGGAUUAAGACCUGGCCCAAGGUACACUUACUAUCUGAAUACACUGCAUCUGUAAUAAGACAGUAAUGAGGCUAGUGUAGAGUUCAGCACAGUGGAUUUUAUACAACUCAUGCAGCUCAGAAGUAGUCAUCACCAAUCCCUCUCAGUUAUGUUUCUAAUUUGGUGCGCAUCGGGCUACUUUUAUUUACCUCUUAUUUUGUUUUCAUUUCACAGGGACUCAACCCAGGAUAGGCAAUCGCUGAGAUCAAGAAAAUUAUGGCAACAUACAAACAAGAGGUCAUUAACCCCAUGAACAUUGUGAAAAAACACCUGCCUUGAAUUCAACUAGUAAUAACUAUAAAUGAUUGAAGUAAUGACUCAAUGCUGAAUUUUCCAUCACACAUCUUUUCAACAAAAUAAAAGUAAAUCAAGUCCCUUUCAUUAGACUUCACACAUGGGAAGGGAAAAAAAAGAGACAGUCUAGAAGAUUCCAGUGCUUUUAUGUACAGUCAAGGGUGCCGCCAGAGAUUUUGGGGCACCACAAAAAGAUAGCACAUUGGGCCCCACCACCACAGGCCACACCAACCCAGCGCAAUUGCUGUAACCACACACCUCCAGAACCCAAUCGACCCAUUCAAACUUUAAAUAACUCUUGUAGUCCAAUAUUUACUGUACGAUAUUUACUGACAGUGAGCUGUGAAAAUAUAACACUGUGCAGACAUGCAUGCAACAUUCUGCAUACAGUCAAAUUCACUAUUUGAUUCAAGACUGAUACCCUCUAUAAGAAAUGUGC